rnacentral:rRNA from 1 species
UACGUAGGCAGCAAGCGUUGUUCGGAAUUACUGGGCGUAAAGAGUGUGUAGGCGGUUCUCUAAGUUCGGGGUGAAAUCUCCCGGCUUAACUGGGAGGGUGCGCCGGAAACUGGAGGGCUUGAGUAUGGGAGAGGAAGGCGGAAUUCCUGGUGUAGCGGUGAAAUGCGUAGAUAUCAGGAGGAACACCGGUGGUGUAGACGGCUUUCUGGACCGUAACUGACGCUGAGACACGAAAGCGUGGGUAGCAAACAGG